rnacentral:rRNA from 1 species
CCUACGGGAGGCUGCAGUGGGGAAUAUUGCACAAUGGGGGAAACCCUGAUGCAGCGACGCCGCGUGAGUGAAGAAGUAUCUCGGUACGUAAAGCUCUAUCAGCAGGGAAGAAAAUGACGGUACCUGACUAAGAAGCCCCGGCUAACUACGAGCCAGCAGCCGCGGUAAUACGUAGGGGGCAAGCGUUAUCCGGAUUUACUGGGUGUAAAGGGAGCGUAGACGGCAGGACAAGUCUGGAGUGAAAUCCCCGGGCUUAACCCCGGAACUGCUUUGGAAACUGGGCGGCUGGAGUGCAGGAGGGGUAAGCGGAAUUCCUGGUGGAGCGGUGAAAUGCGUAGAUAUGAGGAAGAACCCCAGUGGCGAAGGCGGCUUGCUGGACAGUAACUGACGUUGAGGCUCGAAAGCGUGGGGAGCAAACAGGAUUAGAUACCCUGGUAGUC